rnacentral:piRNA from 1 species
UGGAGAGUGCAAUCACGCUGUGGCAGU